UUACUAUUAACUGAAAUUACAUAUAGAUUGUUACUCUAUUAGAUAAUAAAUUUCA
rnacentral:tRNA from 1 species